CAUAUCAAUAAGCGGAGGAAAAGAAACUAACAAGGAUUCCCCUAGUAACGGCGAGUGAAGCGGGAAGAGCUCAAGCUUAAAAUCUCCGUGCAAGUUUUGCGCGGCGAAUUGUAGUCUAUAGAGGCGUGGUCAGCGUGGGCGCUUGGGGCAAGUUCCUUGGAAGAGGACAGCAUGGAGGGUGAUACUCCCGUUCAUCCCUGAGUGGCUCGUGCGUACGACCCGUGUUCUUUGAGUCGCGUUGUUUGGGAAUGCAGCGCAAAGUAGGUGGUAAAUUCCAUCUAAAGCUAAAUAUUGGUGCGAGACCGAUAGCGAACAAGUACCGUGAGGGAAAGAUGAAAAGAACUUUGAAAAGAGAGUUAAAGAGUACCUGAAACUGCUGAAAGGGAACCGAAUCGUUUCCAGUGUCUAUAAUCCGUGGCAUAUUUCAUUGGCGAGUGUGUGCGCGCGUGCGCUGUGGCAGCGGCUUUUUUGGCUGCGCUCGGUGCGUGUGUUGUGUGUGCUUGCUGGUGCCCUGUGCUGCGGUGGGACGUCAAGGUCAGUUCGUAUGCUGCGGGAAAUGGCUGCCGAGGAGGUAGGGCUUACGCUCUGCGUUUGUCUAUUAUAUCUUGGUGGACGAGUCGUCGCGGUUGGGACUGAGGUGCCUACAACGUGCUUUUGAGUGGGUGUGUGUCUCCGUGUGCGCCGUGUGCGGAUAGCUUGCUAUGCGUGUGUGGUUGUGUGUGGAUUGAUGCGUGCCUUAACUUGUCGCCGUUCGGGACGUUGACGAAAUGGAGCGAUCCGAC
rnacentral:rRNA from 1 species